rnacentral:rRNA from 1 species
AAAUGAAUAGACGGGGGCCCGCACAAGCAGUGGAGCAUGUGGUUUAAUUCGAAGCAACGCGAAGAACCUUACCAGCCCUUGACAUGGUCGGACGGUUUCCAGAGAUGGAUUCCUUCACUUCGGUGACUGACACACAGGUGCUGCAUGGCUGUCGUCAGCUCGUGUCGUGAGAUGUUGGGUUAAGUCCCGCAACGAGCGCAACCCUCGCCUUUAGUUGCCAUCAUUUAGUUGGGCACUCUAGAGGGACUGCCGGUGAUAAGCCGGAGGAAGGUGGGGAUGACGUCAAGUCUUCAUGGCCCUUACGGGCUGGGCUACACACGUGCUACAAUGGUGGUGACAGAGGGCAGCUAGACCGCGAGGUCAUGCUAAUCCCUAAAAGCCAUCUCAGUUCGGAUUGCACUCUGCAACUCGAGUGCAUGAAGUUGGAAUUGCUAGUAAUCGCAGAUCAGCACGCUGCGGUGAAUACGUUCCCGGGCCUUGUACACACCGCCCGU